CUAUAUCUGGGCGGUUGAGUGGUGUCUCGGGAUGCGAUGCAUUAAAGAGCUGGGUGAGAUACGCGAGCGUCUGUAAGUAUUGAAAAAGAAGAAAUACACCUGAGCUAUCGCUAGGACGGAGACAAAGGAACGGCGGUCGUAGACGGCAGGAAGUUGAGCCGUGGCUCAACUCGUGGGGCUCCUUCCUGAUCCGUGGCUCAGGAUUCGUGGUACUGUCGUCUCCUACCUUACCCUGCUGGAUUCAAUGGGUGGGAGUUGUGGAGACGCCGCCGCCGCCGCCCGAUUCAGGCGAAUCCAUUCCCGGCUAUGAAAUUCCUUCUGCAGCUGAUUAGUACUCCUAGAAGAUCCCCUUUGGUUGAGGAGGUGGAUGGAAGUCAUCUCCCCAUGGAUCUGCUGGAUAAAGGACGGCGACGUCUUUCAGGGCAGUGGAAGAGCCGCCGCCGGCAUCCUUUAGGGCAGACGUGCGGAACAGUCAGAAACAGGCAGGCGUGGAUGGACGACGGGAGAGCUCGGCCCAGUUGUCUGCAAAAUGGAUGCACCCUGGUGGUCAAAGAGUAUUUGAUGGAGAACAAUGAUUUCAUGGCCAUCGGAAUAAUUGGUCCACCUGGUUUGGCAUGUCAACCACCAUGAACGAGCUUUAUUGCAUUAUAUUCUUCCUUUGGAAUUAAUCUGUGUUCAUCUAAUUAAAAUACGGAUAAUUUGUUGAAGUAACAUAUGUGACCCAUCAUUUUAAACCUCAAUUAUCUUCACCAAACAAGGAAAAUAAAAUUGAUAACCUAUGAGGCAAUGAAGACAGCAUGGCCAAUCUCUGCUCUGUUUUCUGCACACCGGAAAAGUGACAAUGAACACUGGCGAAACAUAUGACCAAGAGUCCACAGGACCUAGAUCAUCGACUCUGCCCAGGGGAGGCUGCUGAUGGGGGCUAACCUGGCUAUCGAGGGACAUGCUAGCGAGAUAUGCACAAGGGCAAUGUUUGGGCGUAUAUUUUAUGAGUGUGGCGCAUACCAGGUUUUAUAUGCGAAGAAGAACAGAUCAUAUCUUGCAAUGAUGGAGGGUGGGGAUGACUUUGACUGUGAGUGUGGGCAGUUCGCCCACAUGGGUAUACUACACACCCAUGUUUUUGAGGUAUUGUUUUCCUUAAAUUAGUAUAGUUUACAGUACUAGCAAUGCAAAUGUGGAGGGUUGGUACCAAAAAAUGAACAAUGUUGUUUUUAGAAAAUGUGGGUACUGGACUUUAUCCAUGUGAAGCAGAUCCCCGAGACACACAUACUAGCAUAGCACUAGUGAAAAUCUAAAUAGUACCUACAACCUCGGAAGCUUGCUAGGUGCGAGAAUUGUGGGGUUAAGGGCCACAGGAGAAACAACUGCACAGAACCAAUGGAUCUGAGAUUAGGGGGUGUCUGAUGCUGGUGUGAAGUGCAUGGCUGCAGCAGCAGCAUCAGUUCUGACUGAUGAAAACCAAGGAGAGCAAGGGUGUAAUCUAAAGAUAUGUUGAUGUGUUCUGGGCAUUUUCUAUUUAUGUUGUACUCAUGUACUGUGUGGUACCGUCCGGCAGUGAGGCUGGCUAUGGAUGUAUCUAUGCAGUGCAUUUCCAGGAUCAGGUGUUUCGAUGUAGAAUUAUUGUUAUUUUCACGUGAUCCAUGGCCCCACCUGGUGUGUGUGAUGCCGGUGACUAGAGUGGCAUGUUGCCUGUGACUCAAUUGCAGUGCUUCUCUGUGUUAUCUGAUACUGAAUUCUGAUGCUUG
rnacentral:rRNA from 1 species